GAAAUGCGAUAAGUAAUGUGAAUUGCAGAAUUCAGUGAAUCAUCGAAUCUUUGAACGCACCUUGCGCUCCUUGGUAUUCCUUGGAGCAUGCCUGUUUGAGUAUCAUGAAAUCUUCAAAGUAAAUCUUUUGUUAACUCAAUUGGUUUCUACUUUGGUAUUGGAGGUCUUUGCAGCUUCACACCUGCUCCUCUUUGUUCAUUAGCUGGAUCUCAGUGUUAUGCUUGGUUCCACUCGGCGUGAUAAGUUAUCUAUCGCUGAGGACACUGUAAAAGGUGGCCAAGGUAAAUGCAGAUGAACCGCUUCUAAUAGUCCAUUGACUUGGACAAUACUUUUAUGAUCUGAUCUCAAAUCAGGUAGGACUACCCGCUGAACUGAA
rnacentral:misc_RNA from 1 species